GGAGAAGUGGCAGAGUGGUCGAAUGCGGUAGUCUUGAAAACUAUUGANNGGGUUCGAAUCCCUCCUUCUCCG
rnacentral:tRNA from 1 species